UACGUAGGGUGCAGGCGUUAAUCGGAAUUACUGGGCGUAAAGCGUGCGCAGGCGGUUUCUUAAGUCAGCUGUGAAAGCCCCGGGCUUAACCUGGGAACUGCGUUUGAAACUGGGAGACUUGAGUGUGGCAGAGGGGGGUGGAAUUCCACGUGUAGCAGUGAAAUGCGUAGAUAUGCGGAGGAACACCGAUGGCGAAGGCAAUCCCCUGGACCUGUACUGACGCUCAUGCACGAAAGCGUGGGGAGCAAACAGG
rnacentral:rRNA from 1 species